GUGGGGAAUAUUGGGCAAUGGAGGAAACUCUGACCCAGCAACGCCGCGUGGAGGAAGAAGGUUUUCGGAUCGUAAACUCCUGUCCUUGGAGACGAGUAGAAGACGGUAUCCAAGGAGGAAGCCCCGGCUAACUACGUGCCAGCAGCCGCGGUAAUACGUAGGGGGCAAGCGUUGUCCGGAAUAAUUGGGCGUAAAGGGCGCGUAGGCGGCUCGGUAAGUCUGGAGUGACAGUCCUGCUUUUAAGGGGGGAAGUGCUUUGGAUACUGUCGGGCUUGAGUGCAGGAGAGGUGAGUGGAAUUCCCAGUGUAGCGGUGAAAUGCGUAGAUAUGAGGAGGAACACCAGUGGCGAAGGCGGCUUACUGGACGGUAACGGACGUUGAGGCUCGAAAGCGUGGGGAGCAAACAGGAUUAGAAACCCCGGUAGUCC
rnacentral:rRNA from 1 species